UUAGUGGCGAACGGGUGAGUAACACGUGGGCAAUCUGCCCUUCACUCUGGGACAAGCCCUGGAAACGGGGUCUAAUACCGGAUAACACUUCCACUCGCAUGGGUGGGGGUUGAAAGCUCCGGCGGUGAAGGAUGAGCCCGCGGCCUAUCAGCUUGUUGGUGAGGUAGAAGCUCACCAAGGCGACGACGGGUAGCCGGCCUGAGAGGGCGACCGGCCACACUGGGACUGAGACACGGCCCAGACUCCUACGGGAGGCAGCAGUGGGGAAUAUUGCACAAUGGGCGAAAGCCUGAUGCAGCGACGCCGCGUGAGGGAUGACGGCCUUCGGGUUGUAAACCUCUUUCAGCAGGGAAGAAGCGAAAGUGACGGUACCUGCAGAAGAAGCGCCGGCUAACUACGUGCCAGCAGCCGCGGUAAUACGUAGGGCGCAAGCGUUGUCCGGAAUUAUUGGGCGUAAAGAGCUCGUAGGCGGUCUGUCACGUCGGAUGUGAAAGCCCGGGGCUUAACCCCGGGUCUGCAUUCGAUACGGGCAGACUAGAGUGUGGUAGGGGAGAUCGGAAUUCCUGGUGUAGCGGUGAAAUGCGCAGAUAUCAGGAGGAACACCGGUGGCGAAGGCGGAUCUCUGGGCCAUUACUGACGCUGAGGAGCGAAAGCGUGGGGAGCGAACAGGAUUAGAUACCCUGGUAGUCCACGCCGUAAACGGUGGGAACUAGGUGUUGGCGACAUUCCACGUCGUCGGUGCCGCAGCUAA
rnacentral:rRNA from 1 species